rnacentral:rRNA from 1 species
UACAGAGGGGCGAGCGUUGUUCGGAAUUACUGGGCGUAAAGGCGCGUAGGCGGCCAACUAAGUCAGACGUGAAAUCCCUCGGCUCAACCGGGGAACUGCGUCUGAUACUGGAUGGCUUGAAUUCGGGAGAGGGAUGCGGAAUUCCAGGUGUAGCGGUGAAAUGCGUAGAUAUCUGGAGGAACACCGGUGGCGAAGGCGGCAUCCUGGACCGAGAUUGACGCUGAUGCGCGAAAGCGUGGGGAGCAAACAGGG